rnacentral:rRNA from 1 species
AGCGAACGCUGGCGGCAUGCCUAACACAUGCAAGUCGAGCGCUCCCAGCAAUGGGGGAGCGGCGGACGGGUGAGUAACGCGUAGGAACGUAUCCUGAGGUGGGGGAUAACCCUGGGAAACUAGGGCUAAUACCGCAUGAUGGCGAGAGCCCAAAGAUUUAUCGCCUUGGGAGCGGCCUGCGUCUGAUUAGCUUGUUGGUGGGGUAACGGCCUACCAAGGCGAUGAUCAGUAGCUGGUCUGAGAGGAUGAUCAGCCACACUGGGACUGAGACACGGCCCAGACUCCUACGGGAGGCAGCAGUGGGGAAUAUUGGACAAUGGGCGAAAGCCUGAUCCAGCAAUGCCGCGUGGAUGAAGAAGGUCUUCGGAUUGUAAAAGUCCUUUCGGCGGGGACGAUGAUGACGGUACCCGCAGAAGAAGCCCCG